GAUUAACGCUAGCGGCAGGCCUAAUACAUGCAAGUCGAGGGGCAGCAGGGUGUAGCAAUACAUCGCUGGCGACCGGCGCACGGGUGCGUAACACGUAUGCAACCUACCUUUAACUGGGGAAUAGCCCUCCGAAAGGAGGAUUAACACCGCAUAACAUCACGAGACGGCAUCGCCUUGUGAUCAAACCUCCGGGGGUUAAAGAUGGGCAUGCGUCCGAUUAGCUAGUUGGCGGGGUAACGGCCCACCAAGGCGACGAUCAGUAGCUGGUCUGAGAGGAUGAUCAGCCACACUGGAACUGAGACACGGUCCAGACUCCUACGGGAGGCAGCAGUAAGGAAUAUUGCUCAAUGGCCGAAAGGCUGAAGCAGCAACGCCGCGUGGAGGAUGAAAUACUUUUGUAUGUAAACUCCUGUGAGAAGGGAAAAUAUGCAGAUUUUCUGCGUUGAUUGUACC
rnacentral:rRNA from 1 species